rnacentral:lncRNA from 1 species
GGGUUGGUGUUCAUCUGCUUGCAGAGGAAAGCCAGGUCCAUACCCCUGAACUUCUCAAAUAUUUCCAAUGCUCAUCACUGGGUCUUUUGCAUGGUCAAAAGGGUUGCAGGUGAUUCUUCUGUGUUGUAAAGUUGAAGAGCAGCUUAAUCCACACUUCCUUUUUGGUCUCACUUCUCCCCUUUGUUCCGGUCAAACCCUGACUGCUUCAAAAGGAAAACUGAAGAAAGAGCUCGAUGUGAGACUAGCUCAUGCGGGAGAAUUGGAGUGAUCAUUUAAAUCAGUCUCCCUGAAGGCUCAGAGGUUAGGGUUUUUAUGGACAACUUGGGUCUGACUCUGUGGCCCAGGCUGGAGCACAGUGGCAUGAUCACAGCUCACUGCGACCUCCACCUCCUGGGAUCCUCCCACCUCAGCCUCCAGAAUAGCUGAGACUACAGGCAUGCACCACCAUGUUUGGCUAAUUUUUAGGUUUUCUUUUUUUUUUAAGAGACAAAGUCUUACUAAAUUGCCUAGGCUUGUCUAGAACUCCCAGACUCAAGCAAGUCUCCUGCCUCAGUCUCCCAAAGUACUGAGAUUACAGUAUUUAUCCUGAUUGCCUACUCACUAGAGUUCUGGACCUGUUUUCCAAAGAAUUCCACAGUGGGGGCCACCUUGUACUGGCAGUUGAAAAACAGGAAAUAGACAGAGAUCAUCCAUUUCCCCUGAGUUCACUGAAACACUCCAGUAAGAAGAUUGAAAAUAGCAGACCGGGGCCGAGCGCAGUGGCUCAUGCCUGUAAUCCCAGCACUUUGGGAGGCCGAGGCAGGCUGAUCAUCUGAGGUCAGGAGUUCGAGACCAGCCUGGCCAACAUGGUGAAAUCCUGUCUCUACUAAAAAUACAUAAAAAUAAAUAUAUGUCACU